rnacentral:snoRNA from 1 species
UCUUGAUGAACACUAGAUGACGAGUCUGAUACGGUCUCACCGAUGCGGACAACCUUUUUUUAUACCAUUCAUGCAUUUUCUGAUU